GACGAACGCUGGCGGCGUGCUUAACACAUGCAAGUCGAACGGAAAGGCCCUGCUUUUGUGGGGUGCUCGAGUGGCGAACGGGUGAGUAACACGUGAGUAACCUGCCCUUGACUUUGGGAUAACUUCAGGAAACUGGGGCUAAUACCGGAUAGGAGCUCCUGCUGCAUGGUGGGGGUUGGAAAGUUUCGGCGGUUGGGGAUGGACUCGCGGCUUAUCAGCUUGUUGGUGGGGUAGUGGCUUACCAAGGCUUUGACGGGUAGCCGGCCUGAGAGGGUGACCGGCCAAAUUGGGACUGAGAUACGGCCCAGCCCCCUACGGGGGGCAGGAGGGGGGAAUUUUGCACAAGGGGCGGAAGCCUGAUGCAGCAACGCCGGGGGGGGGAUGACGGCCUUGGGGUUGUAAACCGCUUUCGCCUGUGACGAAGGGUGGGUGACGGUAAUGGGUAAAGAAGCACCGGCUAACUACGU
rnacentral:rRNA from 1 species